UAUUUAUAUAUUAAGAUAUUAUCAUGAAGGCGUACAUUUUGAAUUCGAGAGAACAGAUCCGAGAGAUAAGAGGGAUGAGUAGUAAACUAUUCUCAUUUUCAUUUAGAGUUUAGAGCACUAGGUUAACCGUAUAAUAGGAUAACAAUUAAAUAGCUAGACGGUCGAGGGCAGAGACCUCUCGUUGAGCUUAACUAAAUUAUUCAAUCCAUCAAAGUCUAUUCAUAAAUAAUAACAUAACACAUAUUCAUCAACUAAUUAAUGUUUUAUAAUAGUAGACCAUAAUUUAUAUUUAAUAAUAAUUUUUAAUAAUUGGUUAUUCUCAAUCUAUGAUUGAUUAAUUAAAAAAAUAAUCUAACAAUCUCUCACUUGAUUGACAAUAAUUAAUUACUAAAAUUGUAUGAAUUUUAAUACUAGGAUUUCAAUUACGGUCAUAACACUUAUCAUCCAAAGAGAAAUAUAUGUUGGAUAUUCACAAUAAACCUAAAUCACAUAUACAAAUAUAUGACAUAUAAUAAUCAAUAUUAAAUCGUACUUAUCAUGAUAGUAGGAUUCAUAACCUUGCACGAACGAUGAACAAUAAGGAUGUGAGAGUUGCUGCCCUUUUUUCAAUGUACAUUUACAAGUGUGUAUCUUGUCAUAAUGGGAUGGUAGAAUAUUUAUUUAUACGCAAUUGAGGGAUGAACCUCUUAACGGUCUAACUAAAAAAACGACUCAACUCCAUCAUAGAUCAUUUCCAAAUACAACAUAAAUAGUAAAUAUUCAUAUUUUAAAUAAGUACAUAUUAGUUAAUUAAAGAAAUCUA
rnacentral:lncRNA from 1 species